GGACACGUAGCUCAGCUGGAUAGAGCGCCACCCUCCGGAGGUGGAAGUCGUGGGUUCGAAUCCCGCCGUGUUCACUA
rnacentral:tRNA from 1 species